rnacentral:lncRNA from 1 species
AGGGGGUCAAAAUACCAUGGCAAAGUAAAAUUUUCAAAAUAUCUUUUCCAGCAAGUUAAAUACAUACAAACUACUUAUUUGUGUAUUCUAACUACAUAAAAGAGUUCGAAUUGCUAGAAUUUCUGAAAUUAAAGGCCUAGAGUAGGGGGUUCAAUAUACCGCAGGGGGUCCAAAUACCAUGGCAAAGUAAAAUUUUCAAAAUAACUUUUCCAGCAAGUUUAAUACAUACAAACUGCUUAUUGGUGUAUUCUUACUACAUAAAAAAGUUAGAAUUGCCAGAAUUUUUUUAAUUAAAGGUCUAGAGUAGCGGGUUCAAU